AAAAUGCGAUACGCAAUGCGAAUUGCAGAAUUCCGCGAAUCAUCAGAUUCUUGAACGCAACUGGCGCUGGAGGGCUAUCCUUUCAGCAUGUCUGUUUCAGUGUCUUAAAACCUCAUAUAAAAACAUAAUGUGUCUGAGAAGGAGCAUCCUAUUUUAGUUUGGUGUGCUACCAACUCUUACAUAAAAGAUGCUUGUGUGGAUCUUUGGGUCCUUCUGAAUUAGUCACUGCAUGUUCAGUGAAUUCAGCAGGCUACUCCAAUUAUCUGGAUACAUAAGGGAAUCGAUUAAACUUUAUGAUUGCAUCUGAAAUCAGACAAGAACACCCGCUGAACUUAA
rnacentral:misc_RNA from 1 species